AACCUCAUUGUCCAGAAGGGAUUCCUUCUGGUUGAUGAGGUAUAACAACCUCAUCAACCAGAAGAAAUUCCUUCCAAUCAAUGAGGUUGUUACAUCUCAUUGAUUGGAAGGGACUCCUUCCUGUCAAUGAGGUUGUUAUACCUCAUUGAUCUGAAGGGAUUCCUUCAGUUGAUGAGGAU
rnacentral:miRNA from 1 species